rnacentral:rRNA from 1 species
GGGUUGUGAGGUUAAGUGACUAAGCGUACACGGUGGAUGCCCUGGCAGUCAGAGGCGAUGAAGGACGUGCUAAUCUGCGAUAAGCGUCGGUAAGGUGAUAUGAACCGUUAUAACCGGCGAUUUCCGAAUGGGGAAACCCAGUGUGAUUCGUCACACUAUCAUUAACUGAAUCCAUAGGUUAAUGAGGCGAACCGGGGGAACUGAAACAUCUAAGUACCCCGAGGAAAAGAAAUCAACCGAGAUUCCCCCAGUAGCGGCGAGCGAACGGGGAGCAGCCCAGAGCCUGAAUCAGUGUGUGUGUUAGUGGAAGCGUCUGGAAAGGCGUGCGAUACAGGGUGACAGCCCCGUACACAAAAAUGCACAUGCUGUGAGCUCGAUGAGUAGGGCGGGACACGUGGUAUCCUGUCUGAAUAUGGGGGGACCAUCCUCCAAGGCUAAAUACUCCUGACUGACCGAUAGUGAACCAGUACCGUGAGGGAAAGGCGAAAAGAACCCCGGCGAGGGGAGUGAAAAAGAACCUGAAACCGUGUACGUACAAGCAGUGGGAGCACGCUUAGGCGUGUGACUGCGUACCUUUUGUAUAAUGGGUCAGCGACUUAUAUUCUGUAGCAAGGUUAACCGAAUAGGGGAGCCGAAGGGAAACCGAGUCUUAACUGGGCGUUAAGUUGCAGGGUAUAGACCCGAAACCCGGUGAUCUAGCCAUGGGCAGGUUGAAGGUUGGGUAACACUAACUGGAGGACCGAACCGACUAAUGUUGAAAAAUUAGCGGAUGACUUGUGGCUGGGGGUGAAAGGCCAAUCAAACCGGGAGAUAGCUGGUUCUCCCCGAAAGCUAUUUAGGUAGCGCCUCGUGAAUUCAUCUCCGGGGGUAGAGCACUGUUUCGGCAAGGGGGUCAUCCCGACUUACCAACCCGAUGCAAACUGCGAAUACCGGAGAAUGUUAUCACGGGAGACACACGGCGGGUGCUAACGUCCGUCGUGAAGAGGGAAACAACCCAGACCGCCAGCUAAGGUCCCAAAGUCAUGGUUAAGUGGGAAACGAUGUGGGAAGGCCCAGACAGCCAGGAUGUUGGCUUAGAAGCAGCCAUCAUUUAAAGAAAGCGUAAUAGCUCACUGGUCGAGUCGGCCUGCGCGGAAGAUGUAACGGGGCUAAACCAUGCACCGAAGCUGCGGCAGCGACGCUGAUGCGUUGUUGGGUAGGGGAGCGUUCUGUAAGCCUGUGAAGGUGUACUGUGAGGUAUGCUGGAGGUAUCAGAAGUGCGAAUGCUGACAUAAGUAACGAUAAAGCGGGUGAAAAGCCCGCUCGCCGGAAGACCAAGGGUUCCUGUCCAACGUUAAUCGGGGCAGGGUGAGUCGACCCCUAAGGCGAGGCCGAAAGGCGUAGUCGAUGGGAAACAGGUUAAUAUUCCUGUACUUGGUGUUACUGCGAAGGGGGGACGGAGAAGGCUAUGUUGGCCGGGCGACGGUUGUCCCGGUUUAAGCGUGUAGGCUGGUUUUCCAGGCAAAUCCGGAAAAUCAAGGCUGAGGCGUGAUGACGAGGCACUACGGUGCUGAAGCAACAAAUGCCCUGCUUCCAGGAAAAGCCUCUAAGCAUCAGGUAACAUCAAAUCGUACCCCAAACCGACACAGGUGGUCAGGUAGAGAAUACCAAGGCGCUUGAGAGAACUCGGGUGAAGGAACUAGGCAAAAUGGUGCCGUAACUUCGGGAGAAGGCACGCUGAUAUGUAGGUGAAGCGACUUGCUCGUGGAGCUGAAAUCAGUCGAAGAUACCAGCUGGCUGCAACUGUUUAUUAAAAACACAGCACUGUGCAAACACGAAAGUGGACGUAUACGGUGUGACGCCUGCCCGGUGCCGGAAGGUUAAUUGAUGGGGUUAGCGCAAGCGAAGCUCUUGAUCGAAGCCCCGGUAAACGGCGGCCGUAACUAUAACGGUCCUAAGGUAGCGAAAUUCCUUGUCGGGUAAGUUCCGACCUGCACGAAUGGCGUAAUGAUGGCCAGGCUGUCUCCACCCGAGACUCAGUGAAAUUGAACUCGCUGUGAAGAUGCAGUGUACCCGCGGCAAGACGGAAAGACCCCGUGAACCUUUACUAUAGCUUGACACUGAACAUUGAGCCUUGAUGUGUAGGAUAGGUGGGAGGCUUUGAAGUGUGGACGCCAGUCUGCAUGGAGCCGACCUUGAAAUACCACCCUUUAAUGUUUGAUGUUCUAACGUGGACCCGUGAUCCGGGUUGCGGACAGUGUCUGGUGGGUAGUUUGACUGGGGCGGUCUCCUCCUAAAGAGUAACGGAGGAGCACGAAGGUUGGCUAAUCCUGGUCGGACAUCAGGAGGUUAGUGCAAUGGCAUAAGCCAGCUUGACUGCGAGCGUGACGGCGCGAGCAGGUGCGAAAGCAGGUCAUAGUGAUCCGGUGGUUCUGAAUGGAAGGGCCAUCGCUCAACGGAUAAAAGGUACUCCGGGGAUAACAGGCUGAUACCGCCCAAGAGUUCAUAUCGACGGCGGUGUUUGGCACCUCGAUGUCGGCUCAUCACAUCCUGGGGCUGAAGUAGGUCCCAAGGGUAUGGCUGUUCGCCAUUUAAAGUGGUACGCGAGCUGGGUUUAGAACGUCGUGAGACAGUUCGGUCCCUAUCUGCCGUGGGCGCUGGAGAACUGAGGGGGGCUGCUCCUAGUACGAGAGGACCGGAGUGGACGCAUCACUGGUGUUCGGGUUGUCAUGCCAAUGGCACUGCCCGGUAGCUAAAUGCGGAAGAGAUAAGUGCUGAAAGCAUCUAAGCACGAAACUUGCCCCGAGAUGAGUUCUCCCUGACUCCUUGAGAGUCCUGAAGGAACGUUGAAGACGACGACGUUGAUAGGCCGGGUGUGUAAGCGCAGCGAUGCGUUGAGCUAACCGGUACUAAUGAACCGUGAGGCUUAACCUUACAACGCCGAAGGUGUUU